UAGGGAAUAUUGCUCAAUGGGCGAAAGCCUGAAGCAGCAACGCCGCGUGGAGGAUGACACUUUUCGGAGCGUAAACUCCUUUUGUUGGGGAAGAAAUUUGACGGUACCCAACGAAUAAGCACCGGCUAACUACGUGCCAGCAGCCGCGGUAAUACGUAGGUUGCAAGCGUUGUCCGGAAUUACUGGGUGUAAAGGGCGUGUAGGCGGAGAUGCAAGUUGGGAGUGAAAUCCAUGGGCUUAACCCAUGAACUGCUCUCAAAACUGUAUCCCUUGAGUAUCGGAGAGGCAAGCGGAAUUCCUAGUGUAGCGGUGAAAUGCGUAGAUAUUAGGAGGAACACCAGUGGCGAAGGCGGCUUGCUGGACGACAACUGACGCUGAGGCGCGAAAGCGUGGGGAGCAAACAGGAUUAGAUA
rnacentral:rRNA from 1 species